rnacentral:lncRNA from 1 species
AUGAUGAUUCAAACUUAAUUAAUGGAUAUUGAAGGGAAUAGCUUCACAGAUUGCUAUGGGCUCUUUUUUUUAUUCCUAUAUAAUGUCUAAAAUCUAAUGGGUGUCGAUAGAUUUUGCUUGCUAUAUUCUUAUGAUUGUUCUCUUAUUUUUUCUGAUGAUGAUUCAAACUUAAUUAAUAGAUAUUGAAGGAAAUGGCUCUAUAGAUUGCUG